rnacentral:rRNA from 1 species
GAUAAACGCUGGCGGCGUGCUUAACACAUGCAAGUCGAACGAAGUUUUUCCUUCGGGAGAAACUUAGUGGCGGACGGGUGAGUAACGCGUGGGUAACCUGCCCUGUUCAGGGGGACAACAGCUGGAAACGGCUGCUAAUACCGCAUAAGCACUUAGCACUGCAUGGUGCAUAGGGAAAAGGAGCAAUCCGGUACAGGAUGGACCCGCGUCUGAUUAGCCAGUUGGCAGGGUAACGGCCUACCAAAGCGACGAUCAGUAGCCGAUCUGAGAGGAUGUACGGCCACAUUGGGACUGAGACACGGCCCAGACUCCUACGGGAAGCAGCAGUGGGGAAUAUUGCACAAUGGAGGAAACUCUGAUGCAGCGACGCCGCGUGAGUGAAGAAGUAUUUCGGUAUGUAAAGCUCUAUCAGCAGGGAAGAAAAUGACGGUACCUGACUAAGAAGCACCGGCUAAAUACGUG